AAUCUUUGGCCACUUUGGUUAGUAGAUUGCGAUCUCAUGACAAAGAUUAGUCAAAGCAUGCUUGUCCUUGAACUCUUUUUUUCUUCUUCUUCUUGUUUUUGGAUAGAAAAGGGAGGCUACCCACCCAGAAUUUUUUGAUAUAAAAGAGAGAAGAACAACAUAGGGAGUGCGCCUUAGUAUGCCCAAGAAAUUAGAACCAAUAGACGAUGAGAUCUCAUCAAAGAGUUUGACAAUGAUGCAGAGGGAAGAAGUGAGAGGUAAAAUAGGGAGGAGAAUGACUUGGAACAUGCCUGCAGCCACCUACAAUUGGAGGAAAGAAAGAUAAAAGGACGAAAACAAAAAGACAUGCAGCUUCUCAGAUAGAAAACCACACGUUGGACGAUCGCCAUUGACGAAGAUUCUUCCCCAUAGAAACAUUCUUUUAUUCCGACCCCUCAAACCAGCCACUCGCGAACAACUUGUGCUCAGAUAAACAUUCUCCCAUCUCAGCUCAAGCAUGGCUCAAAUCUCUUCAAGCUUGGCUUGGUUCCCC
rnacentral:lncRNA from 1 species